rnacentral:rRNA from 1 species
GUGGGGGAUAUUGCACAAUGGGCGAAAGCCUGAUGCAGCGACGCCGCGUGAGGGAAGACGGUCUUCGGAUUGUAAACCUCUGUCUUUGGGGAAGAAAAUGACGGUACCCAAAGAGGAAGCUCCGGCUAACUACGUGCCAGCAGCCGCGGUAAUACGUAGGGAGCAAGCGUUGUCCGGAAUUACUGGGUGUAAAGGGAGCGUAGGCGGGAUGGCAAGUAGAAUGUUAAAUCCAUCGGCUCAACCGGUGGCUGCGUUCUAAACUGCCGUUCUUGAGUGAAGUAGAGGCAGGCGGAAUUCCUAGUGUAGCGGUGAAAUGCGUAGAUAUUAGGAGGAACACCAGUGGCGAAGGCGGCCUGCUGGGCUUUAACUGACGCUGAGGCUCGAAAGCGUGGGGAGCAAACAGGA